rnacentral:rRNA from 1 species
UACGUAGGUGACCAGCGUUGUCCGGAUUUACUGGGCGUAAAGAGCGCGCAGGCGGUCGUUCAAGUCGAGUGUGAAAGCCCCCGGCUCAACUGGGGAGGGUCAUUCGAUACUGAUCGACUUGAAGGCAGGAGAGGGAAGUGGAAUUCCCGGUGUAGUGGUGAAAUGCGUAGAUACUGGGAGGAACACCAGUGGCGAAGGCGGCUACCUGGACCGGUUCUGACGCUGAGGCGCGAAAGCGUGGGUAGCAAACAGG